UCCUUCCUUCCUUUCUUCUUUCUCCUUUCUCUUCUUUCCUUCCUCAAUCAAACUUCCUUCGGGAUCAUUGAAGGAGAGCUGUGGCCUGUCUCAUGGAUGACUCCGUGGGAGUAUUUUCCCUGGAUCUGGGGGUGAGUAUCAGAUUUGAGGGGAUCAUGACGUGCCCCGUAAAAAAGUGUAAAGUUCACUUUUAAUCCUUAGGCGUCUUCAGUAGGAAUUCUCCUUGGGGUCUGACUCUUUCCUUUUUCAGCUUUUUCACAUGCUUGGGAAGUCACUGUGUGAGAAGAGCUGAGCACACAGAGCUCUGCACUCCCCUGUGGGGCUGGAAGGGCAGGUGGGAGCCACAGCCGGCUGGGGGCCGUGAGCCUGACUGUGCAGACUCUGCUGUCAGUGAGGGCAUGGAAUCCUGAAGGCAAAGGGUAUUCAAGUGUGUGUGUUUUGGGGUUGAAGAGUGAGAGAAUCAUUAUUGUUACGUGAAUUAUUCUGAAGUCCUAUGUGGGGCGGUGGGUGGGGUUGGUGGGAGAGACUGAAGGAGUGGGGACGGUGCAUGUGGGGCUGAGAUUAGACAGUGGAAGGGGAAUGGGAAGCUAGGGACUGAUGGAAAAGGCAUUAAGAUGAUACAAAGAAGAAGUAAGAGGUGCUUGAUUUGGGGGAGUGGUAGUGCUAUGAGAUGAGAAAAGUCAAGCCUCAUAACGGAACUGGGGAAAUCAGAAAUGGGAGCUCAUUUGGGGGAAAGAAUGUUAAUUUGAAAUAUUCUAGCAUUUUGGAUUUUUAGGGGAUGUUUUGAAAAGGGGCUGGUUGGAACUAUUUCCAGUGCAGAGAUCAUCCUUGCCUAUCAGAGAACUGUAAUUUGGGACAUGUGAAUCUUUUACCCAUCUCUUCGAGACACCUGAAGACAGAGCUAAGCCUUCUGUUUCCAGUGAUCAGGGGCUGGAUGAAGCCAGCCUCAGGAUAAUAAACCAGGUGAUAAUUUUAGCUCCCAAGCAUGCUUCCUCAUUUGAGAAACAAAACACGGCCGUGAUGCCUAGUGUAUUGUGACCUAUGUGGAGGAGCAGGUGUGACCAUCACUGAGUCAGUGCCUAAUAAGAAGCAGACACUGGGUUUUGCAAAGUAACUGUGAAACCACCUCCUACAGUGGAAUGAAUCUGCCCAGUGGAAUGAAUAGCCCAAGGGAUAUUUUUUACCCUGAAUAACAACAGCUCCUCUAAGAGUGAAGUUUCUCUUUGCGGAGCUAUCUUAUUGUUAUUUGGGACGGAUGGACUGUCAGGCUUUUCUGCCAGAAGCAGAAAUGCUAAUCAAGCCUUGAGCAGGAUGGGACCAGGACUCAAACUCCUUAAGGUGGCUGAGACCCACGUGGACGGCGGGUUUUGCUCAAUCUCAUUUGUGUAGGUCCUUCUGGAGCUGCGGCCUGUAAGAAACUCCGGCCGUCUGGAGAAUGUUGUUCUAACCGAGCUCAUGGCAGUACAUUUUUCACCAAAUUACAUUAGCAUAUAAAACCUGGGUUAUUGAUUUCUUCUUUACUUGUUGUGGUUUCUGGGCAAAAGUCCAAGUUUAUAGAAGCCAAGAGAAUGUACACAUACUUGAGAGUUGUCUAUUUGUUUUUUUUGUUGUUGUGUUCUUAUUUGAGAGACCCGGGACAUGAUCCACGGAGGUGGAAUGACUUUGCAUUCUUUUUCUUCUUUUUUUUUUAAUCUUUUUUAGGGCUGCACUUGCAGCAGA